rnacentral:tRNA from 1 species
UCGGAAGUAGCUUAACUGGUAGAGCAUCGGACUCUGAAUCCGGGGGUUCUAGGUUCGAAUCCUAGCUUCCGAA